UUCACAAUCAAUUGGUUGGGGUGGAACAAAUGCACAAAGAUACGAAGUAUGUUUUAUUCCUUGACGACGAUGUUAGGUUGCACCCUGGGUCAAUUGGGGCCCUUACUACUGAAAUGGAGAAGAAUCCAGAGAUCUUUAUUCAAACAGGAUAUCCUCUUGAUUUACCAUCUGGAACUUUGGGAAGUUACUGCAUUUAUGGAUACCACAUGCCAUGUUCAAUGGGAUUUGCUACUGGUGGAAAAACAUUCUUUCUGUGGGGAGGAUGCAUGAUGAUGCAUGCAAACGAUUUUAGAACCGACCGCCAUUGUGUAGUGUCAGGGCUUCGAG
rnacentral:misc_RNA from 1 species